CAGUCAGCAGGACCCUCCUCACCUGUUGCUCCUCUGGGAGAGCAAAUAACAGGAUGACAGGAGCUUGCAUGGUAAGGGAAUACCAUCUCUGUUUAAUCAUGGCUUCCACCAUACAGAUUUGGCCUGUCUGAC
rfam:Neotoma lepida isolate 417 scaffold_119, whole genome shotgun sequence.